rnacentral:misc_RNA from 1 species
CAACCCUCAAGCUCUGCUUGGUGUUGGGCCCCGCCCGCUCGCGGCCGGCCCUAAAGACAGUGGCGGCAGCGCCUGGCUCCAAGCGUAGUACAGCUCUCGCUCUGGUGCUAGGCGGUAGCCUGCCAGAAAACCCCCCCUCUAUGG